ACAAAGGAAAUAAAGAUUGACUAGCUUAAACAUGAUGGAUUGGACCUGUUGAGUUUGAGUGAAUAAUCUUUUCUUUUGCCCUAACUGUCUAUAACGACUAGAGGUGGUGUUUGGCCUGACGGCAUAGCCUGCCCAGAACCCACCAUUUUGUUGAGAAAAGUUCAUUAGCUACUUUGCACAUCACUUUGUGAAUUAAUUCUAUCGAUUUCAGUCUCCGUACCUCCGACGUUAUUCUUGAUGCAAUUUCGAUCAACUAACAGACUGUCCAAACUGAUGAAGGAGCAAAUCUUCAGUGACAGGAUUCGGAAGGCAGUACGGAAAAUUCCAAACGCGAGGUGAGCCCCGGCAUGGUGGCUCCUGGUAGUUCUACUUCUCAAUGUUCGUGGGCAACUACGCUCUCGAACCAGCCAACAAGUCCAAGCUGCAGAAUCCUUUCUUCUCAGUAGUCAAUCGGUCACAUAAUCUAUUGAAGCAAAAUGUGAUCAUUUGCUGAUCAAAAAUCAACUCCGCAGACUAUCCCAGGCUGUUUUCUUAAGGGACGCAUCAAUGGAAGCAUGCAAACCGCAACUCUUAAGCAUUUGGACGGAUCAUGGCCAGUGAAGCUCCUGUACUACCCACAACAUGGCUCGGGUAAGCUCUCUGCCGGUUGGGGCGCGUUUCAGAAAGGAACUUCUCUAAAGGAAGGAGAUGUCUGUGUGUUCGAGCUUGUUAGAAAUGAUGAUAUUGAAUUCAAAGUCUCCAUUUUCAGAAGGAAUGUCGACACUUAGGCGUAAACUUUGGUAUGCCAUCAGAAAAAUC